rnacentral:tRNA from 1 species
UAAUAAGAAGCAAACCCUUGCAUUUAGUUUCGACCUAAAAAUUUGAUACAUUUAUCCUUAUUUU